rnacentral:rRNA from 1 species
GGUAUUUUGACCGUGCAAAGGUAGCGCAAUCACUUGUCUCUUAAAUAGAGACCUGUAUGAAUGGCUAGACGAGGGCUUAACUGUCUCCCCCCUCCGGUCAGUGAAAUUGAUCUAUCCGUGCAGAAGCGGGUAUAAAUACACAAGACGAGAAGACCCUUUGGAGCUUAAGGUACAAACUUAACCACGUUAAACGACUUCACAAAGAGCAAGAACUUAGUGGCAAUAAUGUUUUACCUUCGGUUGGGGCGACCAUGGAGGAAAAACAAGCCUCCAAGUGGGCCGGGCCAAACCCCCUUCCCUAAAGCCAAGAGAUACACCUCUAGGCCGCAGAACAUCUGACCAAAAAUGAUCCGGCUAUAAAGUCGAUCAACGGACCAAGUUACCCAAGGGAUAACAGCGCAAUCCCCUCCCAGAGUCCAUAUCUACGAGGGGGUUUACGACCUCGAUGUUGGAUCAGGACAUCCUAAUGGUGCAGCCGCUAUUAAGGGUUCGUUUGUUCAACGAUUAAAGUCCUACGUGAUCUGAGU